rnacentral:lncRNA from 1 species
UUUUUGUCUUUUGCUUUGUGGGCUGUUUUCCUAGCCUUUUUCCUGGUGAUUUCAAAGUUAAGUAUAGUCUUUUAUUCUGCUAGUGGUUGCUUUGAAAUACUAUUUCUGUACUCUAACAAAGUAGAGGAUAAAUUGCUUAUUUACUUUUUACCUGUAUUUAAAAGCUCAUUUUCCAGUUCUGGCUAAUGAGGUUUUAGACCCUGAUGGUCUCUUUACAUUGUGUCAUUUCUAAAAGCAACUCUUUAAUGUUUACUUAGAUAGGUUAACAAAAUUUCACUUAUUUUGUGGUUUCCCCAUUCUGAAGGUUGACUGAUAAGGACCUACAUUUUCUAGAAUGUUUGCAGGAAGUAUAUUAUAAGCUCUUCUCGUCUGAGAAAAUCUUUUCUUUAAAACCUCCAUAAACUGGCACUUAAAUACCGUAGGAAAACAUUGAGACAGCCCGAGUAUGUUCUAUUUUUUAUUGGAUUAAGUAUUUUCCUUAGCUCAUUCAUUUCACUUACGCUGUCUGAAAACAACUCUAAGCAGUUAUGUAUGCCUGGAACUAUAACCAUGUCCAAAACCAACACAAUUCCCUAAGACAGGCAGAAUGACCUCCAACAAUAUCCAAGUCCUAAUCCUAGAACCUGCAAAUGUGAAAUGUUACAAGGGGAAUUAAGACUGCCAAUGAGCUGACCUUAAAAUAAAUUAUUUCUAAAUAUUUGGAUGGGCUCAAUAUUAAUCACAAGGGUCCUUAAAAGUGAAAGAGGGAGGUAAGAGGGGUCCAGUGUGAUGCAGACGCCACCUGCUGCUGCUAGAUAUGAAGAUGGAGUAAGAGACCGUGAGCCAAAGGCAGAGUCUUCAGAAGCUUGAAAAGAUAAAAAAAAAAAACCUUGCCUCCCCUAAAGACUCUAGGGACUAAUACAGCCCUGCUGACACCUUAAUUGUAACCUAGUGGGACCUGUGUCAAGACUCCUGACCUACAGAACUGUAAGAUUUCAAGCCAUUAAAAGUUUGCGGCCUUUGGGAGCCCGAGGUGGGCAGAUCACAAGGUCAGGAGUGUGAGCCACCGUGUCCAGCCGGAACUUUUUAAGCAUAGUUUGAAAGCCACGUUUGUCACUAAAUAACCAAAAAGACACAAUUAUUAGGUCUCCUUCAAUUCAAAAAGCUUAAGAACUCUGCUAAUGUACAAUUUGAUUUCCAUUUUAUAAAUCACUGUUCAUUUCACAUCCUGAAAAUUUAUGUUUUCAUCAACUCCAGAAUGAUAGAAUUCUUACCUUUCUAUUCAGGAAUCCAAGGCUAAGUUCCUUAAAUUUCUUAAAGAACACAUUAGAGGUGAAAACUUUUGUUAGACUUCAGACAAUAUUUUUAAAAGCUGAUUUCUAGAUUUAUUGGGUGGUCUAACCUAGUGUUAUGGAAGUUUAUUUCUUAUUACUAAGAUAGCCUCUUUUACUCCAAAAUACAAUGACAUUUCUCAAAACUUAUCUUUCAAACAUCAAGUUUGCCUGUACUUCAGCUUGGGCCCAAUUUUACCACUUGGUCCUUUUAAAUCUAUUAUUCAGGUAUCCCACAUUAUUCUACACAAAUACACAUAGGCUAGAGACAAAAACACAUGAAGAAAAGAGAGAAGGCAGAAAUGCUGGGUAAAACACUAACUGCCACUUCUUAGUUUCCACUUCAGUGACUUUAAGUCAAAUAAGCCUGGAAUCAACUAUCACUGUUGCCAAAGUCUGGCUUACGUAGGGAGUAGGGAACAUAAAUGUUAACUACAGACUUAGAAAUAAAUGAAUAUCUGAAUCUCACCCCACCGCUGCACUCUUGGCAUUUGGGAAGAGUGUACACAUACAUUUAACUGUUACUCUAUUUAGCAUUUGUUCUUUUUCUAACUCCCAUUUUUUUAAGUUGCAGAUGCUAAAAGCAGUCUGAGGACCUUGGUCAUUUAUAGCUUAUAAAUCACUGACAAUCAGAAAGAAAAACUAGUAUACAAGCAUUUAACAGUUACACUUCAGUUACUCAUGUAUUGGUAAACUGGUACUUGCUUAAUAGAAACAAAUUGUACCCCAACCCUAAAUUCCAUGCUUAAAAAAACUCAUCUUUACACAUUGCUUUAAACAGAGCGGCAUUCUCUCUAAAUUUAAAUACUUGAGUAAUAUAUGAGCAACAUAAAUUAACUUUUAGAUUAAGUAAAAUAUCCUGGAAUAACACUAACUCCAAAGAAAGCAAAAAGAUAUACUCUAACUUUACAGAUGAUCAUCAGGUAUACAGUAUGUUUAGUCAUAUCGCAAUACUUAACAGCCAAAUAAAUCUAACAACAAAAAAUAUAGCCAGAAUUUAUACUGCCAAAUCUGACACGCAACCCCAAAAGUGAAAUGUUUUUGAAUGAAAACAAGACAAGAUGUAUUUACACAAAAAGUUACACAUUUUCUUUAAUAUUUCAUGUAUCUUGUACAUUUAACAGUGGAAGUCGAAAUCUUCAGUAAUAUUUAAUUUUCAAAAUCUUCUGGUCACAAUCCC